UGCAGCUUUUCAGGUUGUGCUUUUAGAAUCUCGGGAUAGAAUUGGUGGUCGAGUUCACACUAACUACUCAUUUGGUUUUCCUGUUGACAUGGGAGCAGCCUGGUUGCAUGGUGUCU